AGCAGUAGCUCAGUGGUAGAGCUCCCGCUUCUUAUGAGGGAAGACCUGAGUUCGAUUCUUGGUUGCU
rnacentral:tRNA from 1 species